rnacentral:rRNA from 1 species
CCUACGGGAGGCAGCAGUGGGGAAUAUUGGACAAUGGGGGGAACCCUGAUCCAGCCAUGCCGCGUGUGUGAAGAAGGCCCUCGGGUUGUAAAGCACUUUCAGUGAGGAAGAACGCCUGGUGGUUAAUACCCAUCAGGAAAGACAUCACUCACAGAAGAAGCACCGGCUAACUCCGUGUCAGCAGCCGCGGUAAUACGGAGGGUGCGAGCGUUAAUCGGAAUUACUGGGCGUAAAGCGCGCGUAGGUGGCUUGAUAAGCCGGUUGUGAAAGCCCCGGGCUCAACCUGGGAACGGCAUCCGGAACUGUCAAGCUAGAGUGCAGGAGAGGAAGGUAGAAUUCCCGGUGUAGCGGUGAAAUGCGUAGAGAUCGGGAGGAAUACCAGUGGCGAAGGCGGCCUUCUGGACUGACACUGACACUGAGGUGCGAAAGCGUGGGUAGCAAACAGGAUUAGAUACCCCGGUAGUC